AUCAGCAGCCAUAUCAGCAACUCACAACCGGCAACCCACUGAAGCUAAGCAGGUGUGAGUCUGGUCAGUACCUGGAUGAGAGACCUCCUGGGAAAAACUGAGGUUGCUGCUG
rnacentral:rRNA from 1 species